UACUCCUACGGGAGGCAGCAGUGGGGAAUCUUGCGCAAUGCGCGAAAGCGUGACGCAGCAACGCCGCGUGGGGGAAGACGGCCUUCGGGUUGUAAACCCCUUUCAGGAGGGACGAAGCCCGAGCGGUUAAUAGCCGACUUGGGUGACGGUACCUCCAUAAGAAGCCCCGGCUAACUACGUGCCAGCAGCCGCGGUAAU
rnacentral:rRNA from 1 species